AAUCAACGCUGGCGGCGUGCCUAACACAUGCAAGUCGCACGAGAAAGUGGAGCAAUCCAUGAGUAAAGUGGCGUACGGGUGAGUAACACGUGACUAACCUACCCUCGAGUGGGGAAUAACCUCGGGAAACCGGGGCUAAUACCGCAUAAAAUCUUUUGGCUGAGAUGCCGAUUGAUCAAAGCAGUAAUGCGCUUGAGGAGGGGGUCGCGGCUGAUUAGCUAGUUGGUGAGGUAACGGCUCACCAAGGCGAAGAUCAGUAGCCGGCCUGAGAGGGCGC
rnacentral:rRNA from 1 species